CAGACAGGAGCUAGUAUGAGACCCCAGCCAGGAUCGUGCUUGGGCAUAGUUACUUUUGUAUUACUCUGGUUGUAUUUUUUGGUAACAGUGCACAGGAGACAGAGCGUGUGAAGGAGAACGGAUUACAAACCAAAAACUCAACUCUGCAUUGUUCAGGUUCAGGUGCUCAUGGACUGUUCUGAAUCCCAUCAAGAGGAGGAAGGUUUUGUCCAGCCUUAAAAACAAACCUGAUGCAAGAAACGCAAAUGUUGAUAUUAAAAUCUGAAGAAUUGUUGAGGAGGAUGGGUUGGAUAUGUGUUUCAUAGUGUGGGGUCUAGCAGCAGUAGAGGGGUCAUUACACUGAUUUGCAAGCACCAGCGAUUUAGAUUAAUUAA